CGGGGGAGGCGGGAUCCUGGGCUGUGUCCCGGCGCCCUGUGCUCCGGGGCCUGCGCUGUUGGGUUCGCGCUCCCGGGCCGCGCAACCCCCU
rnacentral:pre_miRNA from 1 species